GGCCGGUUGGCCCAAUGGCAAGGCGUCUGACUACGAUUCAAUUCAAAUCUGAUAUCAGGAGAUUCUGGGUUCGACCCCCAGGCUGGUCA
rfam:Colletotrichum gloeosporioides Cg-14 contig02646, whole genome shotgun sequence.